AGAGUUUGAUUCUGGCUCAGAACGAACGCUGGCAGCGUGGAUUAGGCAUGCAAGUCGAACGGGAUCCCCGUGGGUAGCAAUACAAACGGGGUGAGAGUGGCGGAAGGGCGAGGAACGCGUGGGCAAUCUACCUUCAAGUCGGGGACAACUCCGCGAAAGCGAAGCUAAUACCGGAUGUGGUGGUUCGUCGCAUGGGGAGCUUACUAAAGGUGGGGACCUUUCGGGGCCUGCCGCUUGAUGAGGAGCCCGCGUCCUAUCAGCUUGUUGGUGGGGUAACGGCUCACCAAGGCUUUGACGGGUAGCUGGUCUGAGAGGAUGGUCAGCCGCACUGGGACUGAGACACUGCCCAGACUCCUACGGGAGGCUGCAGUCGAGAAUCUUCUGCAAUGGGCGCAAGCCUGACAGAGCGACGCUGCGUGGAGGAUGAAGGCCUUCGGGUUGUAAACUCCUGUCAUGAGGGAACAAUUGGUCGGGCGUGAUAACCGCUCGAGCUUGAUGGUACCUCAAGAGGAAGCCACGGCCAACUCUGUGCCAGCAGCCGCGGUGAUACAGAGGUGGCGAGCGUUGUUCGGAUUUACUGGGCGUAAAGGGUGCGUAGGUGGCUCGGCAUGUCGGAUGUGAAAGCCCACGGCUCAACCGUGGAACUGCAUUCGAAACUGCCAAGCUAGAGUGCAGGAGGGGAGAGCGGAAUUCUUGGUGUAGCGGUGAAAUGCGUUGAUAUCGAGAAGAACGCCGGUGGCGAAGGCGGCUCUCUGGAAUGUUACUGACACUGAGGCACGAAAGCUGGGGGAGCAAACAGGAUUAGAUACCCUGGUAGUCCCAGCCCUAAACGGUGCGCACUUGGUGUUGGCGGAUUUGACCCCGCCAGUGCCGGAGCUAACGCGUUAAGUGCGCCGCCUGGGGAGUACGGCCACAAGGUUAAAACUCAAAGAAAUUGACGUGGGCCCGCACAAGCGGAGGAGCAUGUGGCUCAAUUCGAUGCAACGCGAAGAGCCUUACCUGGGCUUGACAUGCAGCUGCAAACCCCCUGAAAGGGGGGCGCCUUUGAGGGUGCUGCACAGGUGCUGCAUGGCUGUCGUCAGUUCGUGCCGUGAGGUGUUGGGUUAAGUCCCGCAACGAACGCAACCCCUGUGUCUAGUUGCCCCCGCCGGUGAUGAGCCGGCGAGCACUCUAGACAGACUGCCCGUACAAGCGGGAGGAAGGUGGGGAUGACGUCAAGUCAGUAUGGCCCUUACGUCCAGGGCUGCACACGUGCUACAAUGGCCGGUACAAUGGGACGCAAUACCGCGAGGUGGAGCAAAUCCUCAACGCCGGCCCCAGUUCGGAUUGGAGUCUGCAACUCGACUCCAUGAAGUUGGAUUCGCUAGUAACGGCGCAUCAGCUACGGCGCCGUGAAUACGUUCCCGGGCCUUGUACACACCGCCCGUCACAUCAUGAAAGCCGUCUGCACCCGAAGUCGCUGGUCCAACCCUAACGGGAGGAAGGU
rnacentral:rRNA from 1 species